GAUGAACGCUGGCGGCGUGCCUAAUACAUGCAAGUCGAGCGAACGGACUAGAAGCUUGCUUCUCUGAUGUUAGCGGCGGACGGGUGAGUAACACUUGGAUAACCUACCUAUAAGACUGGGAUAACUUCGGGAAACCGGCGCUCAUACCGGAUAAUAUUUUGAACCGCAUGGUUCAAAAGUGAAAGACGGUCUUGCUGUCACUUAUCGAUGGAUCCGCGCUGCAUUAGCUAGUUGGUAAGGUAACGGCUUACCAAGGCAACGAUGCAUAGCCGACCUGAGAGGGGGAUCGGCCACACUGGAACUGAGAAACGGUCCAGACACCUAAGGGAGGCAGCAGUAGGGAAUAGUCCGCAAUGGGCGAAAGCCUGACGGAGCAACGCCGCGUGAGCGAUGAAGGUCUUAGGAGCGUAAAACUCUGUUAUAAGGGAAGAACAUAUGUGUAAGUAACUGUGCACAUCUUGACGGUACCUAAUCAGAAAGCCACGGAUAACUAAGUG
rnacentral:rRNA from 1 species